rnacentral:rRNA from 1 species
AGCCAGACUCCUACGGGAGGCAGCAGUGGGGAAUAUUGCACAAUGGGGGAAACCCUGAUGCAGCGACGCCGCGUGAGCGAUGAAGUAUUUCGGUAUGUAAAGCUCUAUCAGCAGGGAAGAAAAUGACGGUACCUGACUAAGAAGCCCCGGCUAACUACGUGCCAGCAGCCGCGGUAAUACGUAGGGGGCAAGCGUUAUCCGGAUUUACUGGGUGUAAAGGGAGCGUAGACGGCUGUGCAAGCCAGAUGUGAAAGCCCGGGGCUCGACCCCGGGACUGCAUUUGGAACUGUGUGGCUGGAGUGUCGGAGAGGCAGGCGGAAUUCCUAGUGUAGCGGUGAAAUGCGUAGAUAUUAGGAGGAACACCAGUGGCGAAGGCGGCCUGCUGGACGAUGACUGACGUUGAGGCUCGAAAGCGUGGGGAGCAAACAGGAUUAGAUACCCCUGUA